rnacentral:tRNA from 1 species
CACUGUAUAGCUACUCCAGCAUUAACCUUUUAAGUUAAAGACGGGG